ensembl:lncRNA
AGGGCAGUUGAAAGUUUUCAGUUUAUUCCAUUACCACUUAAGAGUUCAAGAAUUUUGUUUUUAAGUUCUCUGUUUUGUGCUCAAAUAUCGCUGGAAUUCUAUUAGACUAUUAUAAUGUAUUUUUUAAAUAUGAAUAUAAUACACAGCCUUAGAAUAGAUCAUACUUGAAUAUAGAAUGCUUUCCUAACCACAACCCAGAAAGGUGUUCUUUUCUUCAUGGAGGCUGACAUCUGAAGACUGGAGAAAUCAUUCAUUGGGUCCUGAAGAAUAGUCUAAUACAGUUGAAUUGAAGUUAGAAAAUGUGGCUUCCAGGCUUCCUGCUGGAAUUUACCUGGAAGAUAUUGGGUUCCUUGUUUCCCCUGAUCCAAAGAUUUUGAGCAGUGAGAAGCCAUCAAGGAGAAGUGCAUACCUCUUCAAUCAGCUGAGAAAAAUGAAGUUCCUUCCCUAUCUAGUGAUUCCCUCCCUGUUGCUUACAAAGGAAACAGCAGAGAUGAUGGCAAGACUUCAUUUAAAUAGGGCUUUUCAGAGUGACUAUGAAUAA